GUUUGUUGUGUUUGAAAAAUCUUGUUUUAAAAACUGGCUAGUUAUUUCAACGCUUCCUGUAGUUUUAGUGCCAUAUUAGUUUGCGUUGCAGCAUACACCGUCCUGCAAAUAUGACCAGAAUUUGAAGGCAGCAUUCUUGUUCUGAAAACAACAGGAUCAAAAUAGCUUAUAUAAUGCAUAUAUCAGAAAGUAUAAUGUGGUUUUUAUCUCUAAACAUAGAAGGUGAUGUUGAUGUAUUUGAGUAUAUUUGAUGUAAGGAGUUUCUGAAUUCUUGGAACUAAGAUAUCAGUGAGGAAAUUUUGUUGAGCAAUGUGACGCUGUUGAUUCAGCCUGUGAUGACCUACAUAGUUUCAGUCUUUCAGACAACCCCUUGUGAGUUAGGAGUUGCAGCUAACCAAAUCAUAGGAGUUGAUCAUAAUAGAUGUGGAAUCUGGACCUUUCAUGCUUUUGCAGUUUUUUCUUAUUAUUAUAUUAUAAAUUGGGUAAUCUAGAUCGGGUGUUUAACUUGUUUCUCAUUAAGAGGAAGAUAUAUAUUUAUUAUCUGAGGCAUACGAGUUCAGAAUUUCAGAUAGCCAUUUUUUCUGAGGUUAGUUUCAAUUCAACCAUUGAUCUUUGUUUCAAGGUGCUGGCCCCACCCAGUGGCAGAGGCAGGAUUUCAAAGCUGGGUAUUCCACGUAUAAAAAAUUUUCAAUGUAUAUGUGCAAUAGUAAUAGGGGACAAAAUCAAUACAAAAUUAAUUCUGGUGCACAACUCAAGUAGUACAUAUAAUUUUCUUAAAAUAUAUGCUAGGUAAAAUAUUUGUUUAUCCUAAAAACAAGACAUCAAGCAAAGUGAGCCUAAUGUCGUCCCUAGUAAUAAUCAAAGUAUAUAUAAAUUCUUUAUCUAUGUUACAAGAACACAAUGCAACAUUUCUUUAAAAAAAUCAGAACACAACAAAAAAAAGAAAAAAAAUAAAACCUUCAAUUCUUACUUUGACGAAUAAAAAAUAGAUGUGAGAUCUUUUGUGUUCACCUUGUUGUUGCUUCAAGCCGUAUAUGAGAAAGGCGUUAAGGGAAAGCCGUAUAUGAGAAAGUCUACAAAGACCACUGAACUGCCACCGCCACCACCACUAGAGGAAUGUCGUCGAUGGGGUUUUUUCUGAUGAGUUCAUGGGCUGCCGCUACUAGUUGUUCUAGGCUUAGAGCAACUUCAAGAGUUUAACUACUAUUGCUGUUUAUGCUAUUUUAGAAUUUGUAUAGAAAAACUAGACCCCAACUAGUAUGCUAUCUAAUUUUGUAAAAUAGGAAGUUGGCUUCCUCUUGAUUUUUGGUGGCUAUAUAUAGCUUAUUGCAGGCCCUAACUGUAAGACUUUGUAAAAUAACAAGAUUGUUGUAGAUCUCUUCUUUUUUUAGAAAUUUUCUAUUCAACAAAAUAGCUAAACAAUAGAAUUUGACAAUUAAUUUUAACCAGACUAUUAGAGUUGCUCUUAUGGGCUACAUAUUUACAACAUUCAACAAACUAACAUAUACGUUGAUUAUACAUGUGUGUAUAUAUAUAUAUAUUUGUGUUUGUCACAAAAAUCAUGGGUAUUUCAUGGAAUACAGGGGCAUACCCCUAGCGCCACCCAUGGCCCCAUCCCAAGUACAGUAUUUAUUUCAUUGGUGUAUAUUUACAGACGUUGCAAGUUUAGGCCUUGUUUAGUUGGCGAAAAUUUUUGGGUUUGGCUACUGUAGCACUUUCAUUUUUAUUUGACAAUUAUUAUCUAAUCAUAGACUAACUAGAUUCAAAAGAUUUGUCUCUUAAAUUACAGGUAAACUGUGCAAUUAGUUAUCUUUUUUUAUCUAUAUUUAAUGCUACAUGCAUAUGCCGCAAGAUUCAACGUGAUCUUUUUUAUCUAUAUUUAAUGCUACAUGCAUCUUGCGGCACAUACACGGAACAUUAAAUAUAGAUAAAAAUAAAAACUAAUUGUACAGUUUGUCUGUAAAUCGCGAGACGAAUCUUUUAAUCCUAAUUACUCCAUAGUUGAACAAUGUUUGUCAAAUAAAAACAAAAAUGCUACAGUAUCAAAAUCUAAAAAAAUCUAAACAAGACCUUAGUUAAUUCUGCAUCGAGACAAACCGGGUCAAAUGCAGGGCACAGGCGAGGCCGACGGAAGGGCAAGGUGUAACACCCCGCAUAUUCACUGCCAAGGUAAAAAUACCGGCUUUAAGGAUUAUUACCUGAUAAAGCAAUACCCCCUCGAAUAAUAACCCUAGUUAAAGUGAUGCAACAGAAUGAUAGUUAGAACCUUACAAAAAUUGUCACAAUUAAUAAAAUAACAAUUACUAACAUUACCUAAAACAAUAUAAUGACAACUCCAUCAUGUUAUACUAGAAAUUAUGUAAGUUGUAUUUCUCAUGUGACUUUUGUAGACCGGCGCUUGGUACAUCGUAUCAUCACAAGUUGUCUCUUUUCAUCUUAAGGGGGAGGGUUAAUAGCAAGAGUGAGUACAAAGUACUCAGCGAGCAUACAAUAAAUCAAAUGAGAUGCAUUCCUAUCCAUUUGUCAUAUCCAUUCUCAUUUAUAGGAUCAUUUGUGAAAAAGUUGCAUAUUUUAGGAAAAUAAGUUAAGAAAUCUAUUAUCACCUAUAUAGUGAGACAGGACCUCCUAUAGCCCCCUAGCCUCUACUCAAGAGACAUAACGUGAAUUCACGGUUUUAACCCUGCGCAGGUUUGUUUCGCUUUACCCAUGAUUAUCUUGACCAAUUUUCCAUCACACUUCCUUAGGUAUGACUCAUGGUCAAGAUACCGUGACUUUCUCCACUUCCGUAUAUUAUAUACAUCUAUAUCUAUUCAUGUGCGCUAAUAUAUACGCUUGGGUGUACUUUAUCGACACCUGAUUGGGGAUUUCAUCACCCAACCCUCUCCUCACUUACCAUAGAGAGUAUAUAACAACAUUCAUGGGUACCGGACUCGGCCCGUCCCAAACGAGUUCACUUGCCGACACGACUCCAUACGGCCCACAUAAUGAGAAGGGUGAGUCCUUAUAUAUUUAUAGUCGAUAUAGAGAGAGCUUGACCGACCCUAAUUCAUCAUCACAUUCCAUGAGCUCUCUCUAUACCGAAUACUUAUUUAUCAUCCAGUAAUCAUUAUACAUCAUAAUCAUCAUGUCUAGUUUAAUUUAGAAAAUAUAUAUUUUUUAUGCAAGUAUCUUGAAAAUAAGUUCGUUUUUAUAAAAGAAAAUCAAUGUAUCAUCUACAUGACUUGCCUGUCCUUUAAAAUGUCACUCCACAUCGUCAAUAAACUUUGAAUGUCCUUCAACGUUUCAGCUGGCUUCCUGUAAUUAUAAUACCUAUUUUUAAUAAAUUGGAAAUUAACAAAAUGAGAGAAUACACACAAAUUUAUAAAUUGUGUGUACGUAGCAGUGUGUCUCCUUCUACAGUCAAGAUAUUUCAUUAGUCUCAAAUUUCAGCUUUACUACGAUUGGUAGGAAAUAUACUGGUUCCUAUGAAUUUAGUCGGUCACUAAGUUAAUUAAUAUUCUUAAUUUUUUUUCCUUUGCUUAUCUAACGUGAGCUAACCAUUAGAAACAAAAAAGAUAAAAAGGCCUUGUUUAGUUCAUCCUGAAAACCAAAAAGUUUUCAAGAUUUCCCGUCACAUCGAAUCUUGUGGCAUAUGCAUGAAACAUUAAAUAUAGACGAAAACAAAAACAAAUUACACAGUUUAGCUGUAAAUCAUAAGACAAAUCUUUUGAUCCUAGUUAGUCCAUGAUUGGAUAAUAUUUGUCACAAACAAAGGAAAGUGCUACAGUACCGAAAACUUUUCACUUUUCGGAACUAAACAAGGCCUAGCACGAUUGGAACACUGAAAUAGUAGCAAGUCAACAGACCAACACAGCAACACACGCACAGCCUCCUCUCUCUCUCUCUGCCUCUCAUCCAUGGCUCUCCUCUGUUCUUCACGCUGCAGCAACCCCGCUGCCCAAAUCCACUACCAGUACCAUGGAAGAAGAAUCUCACCUCUAAUCACUUCCAUCUAUUCUCUCCAUUGCCAUGGUGCUAUACCUGUCAUUUCCCCCUUCAUUUCGGACUCUUUGAGUCCUCUAUUUUGGGAUCUAGCUCUGCUGCUCGCUGUGGGAAUAAGCAUCGCCUGGUGGUGACCCAUGGCUAAUACCCCAAAUCAAGUCCCCAAAAGUUGUAGUUGCUAUCUAUCUAUUUCUCCCCUUCGAUUUUUUCUCUCUAAUGUGUGUAGGUUGGGGGGCCGGCGGCGACCUGCUCCAUCACGGUGCCGUGCUUGGCGGCCGUGAUGCCCAGGACAGGGCCAAGAAGACCCGUGUGUGCAGCACAAUGACUCCAAAGUCCGGCGACAACCUCCACAACCUGACAGUGAGUGCUCCUACUCUUGCAUCCUCAAACUCAGUUCAUCUGGUCAGUCUACAUCUAGAUGUGAAAGUUUCUUUUAUAAAAAUUUUAGCCCAGAUUCAACUAUUUAUGUGUAUAUUUGCAUAAAAAGAGAGAAUACUAGUUCAUGUUCUGAUUACAGCUAGCACACAAUUUGCCUUGGCCAGAACAUAUCACCUAGUAUUUGUUAGCUAUGCUCUACUAGUACAGUCAAAAUAUCUAUCUUCAUGGUAGGUGUAUUGUGCUCUUAGUGGAGGAGGAAAAAGUUUCUAUAGAUGUGCACGUGAAAAUAAACCUCACCUUAAUCCUGGUGAUGUUUAGCUUCAGUCUCCUACGCUUCCUCAACAAGUACUCUUUCUCCUUGCAGGUCUUAACUACUGAAAGGUUCCUUCUUCAAGAUGUGGUUGAUCCCCACCUGGCUACUUGUCUUGACUCUCUCCAUGGUCUCUUAUUGC
rnacentral:lncRNA from 1 species